rnacentral:rRNA from 1 species
UACGUAGGGUGCGAGCGUUGUCCGGAAUUAUUGGGCGUAAAGAGCUCGUAGGCGGUCUGUCGCGUCGAUCGUGAAAACUUGGGGCUUAACCCUGAGCUUGCGGUCGAUACGGGCAUGACUGGAGUUCGGCAGGGGAGACUGGAAUUCCUGGUGUAGCGGUGGAAUGCGCAGAUAUCAGGAGGAACACCGGUGGCGAAGGCGGGUCUCUGGGCCGCAACUGACGCUGAGGAGCGAAAGCAUGGGGAGCGAACAGG